CUUUUCUCGGACAUAAUCACUCUAUAAGAUCUAUUGGUUCCUAAACACAGUGCUCUAGCCCAAGCCUGUCCCCUUUCUUGGCUAAAUUUUGCAAGUGUCUAAAGACCUUCUAAAGACCUGAAAGAUGUCUCCCUGUGGUGCCAUUUGGUGUCUUCUGCUGAAUAAUGUAACAGAGGACCCCCAACCUAGUGGCUUAAAGCUUCUCUUUCCUCAUUUGGCUAUGAUUUAAUUGUAACUCCCUUGGGUCUCCAGCCUGCCCAUGUGUGUGCAUCCCAGGAGAUCUGAUCUCAGGUCCUCUCACUUGUGUGGCAAACACUGACCCACUGAGUCAUCUCCUCAGCCCUAGAACCUUAAGUUUGGCAAAAUGGGACUUAGACUGGAGUCUAAGUUUGAGAAGAGUUCCAAGGAAGUGUUUGCUAUUCAGGAAAGAAGUGAAAAGGGUUGACUGAUGUCACAGAUCCUGCUGGUGUCCUGGCACCAAGUUUUCAUCUAGCCAUAUCUGCCCACCUACAGCAGCAAUGAGUGUUCUCUCCUAUUCAGUUGUUCCCAAGGGAUUGCUCUGGGUCAUAUGGAGAUAGGAGUACCUGGGAGUUACACCUCCUAGCCUGGGAGUCCAUCUCCCUGUCUCUCCAUGAAAUCAAGAUUAUGGUACAUUGCUGCUCUGUGCUCUUCAAGGGUCUAGGCUGGAGCCUGACUAUAGCUGGCUUUGCUCCCCUCCCCUGCAGUCCCACCCCCAACACACUCACAUGCAUACGUUUCUUUCCUUGUCUCCUUCUCUCCAAUUAAAAACCCACAAUAAACCAAGAGCUUCCAAGACUUCAAA
ensembl:lncRNA